GAUGAACGCUGGCGGCGUGCCUAAUACAUGCAAGUCGAGCGAACAGAUAAGGAGCUUGCUCCUUUGACGUUAGCGGCGGACGGGUGAGUAACACGUGGGUAACCUACCUAUAAGACUGGAAUAACUCCGGGAAACCGGGGCUAAUGCCGGAUAACAUUUAGAACCGCAUGGUUCUAAAGUGAAAGAUGGUUUUGCUAUCACUUAUAGAUGGACCCGCGCCGUAUUAGCUAGUUGGUAAGGUAACGGCUUACCAAGGCAACGAUACGUAGCCGACCUGAGAGGGUGAUCGGCCAUACUGGAACUGAGACACGGUCCAGACUCCUACGGGAGGCAGCAGUAGGGAAUCUUCCGCAAUGGGCGAAAGCCUGACGGAGCAACGCCGCGUGAGUGAUGAAGGUCUUCGGAUCGUAAAACUCUGUUAUUAGGGAAGAACAAAUGUGUAAGUAACUGUGCACGUCUUGACGGUACCUAAUCAGAAAGCCACGGCUAACUACGUG
rnacentral:rRNA from 1 species